UAUUGAAACACAGGUUCCCGUACGACACCGAAGUUAAGCAACUUCGGACCUGGUCAGUACUUAGAUGGGUAACCGUUUAGAAAUUCCAGGUGAAG